AUUGAACGCUGGCGGCAGGCCUAACACAUGCAAGUCGAACGAGUGGCGGACGGGUGAGUAAUGUCUGGGAAACUGCCUGAUGGAGGGGGAUAACUACUGGAAACGGUAGCUAAUACCGCAUACCAUCAGAUGUGCCCAGAUGGGAUUAGCUUGUUGGGGGGGUAACGGCGCACCAAGGCGACGAUCCCUAGCUGGUCUGAGAGGCUGACCUGCCACAAUGGGACUGAGAAAAGUGCCAGACUCCGACGUGAGGCAGCAGUGGGGAAUAUUGUCCAAUGGGCGCAAGCCUGAUUCAGCCAUGGCGCGGGUGUGAAGAAGGCCCUCGGGUUGUAAAGUUCUUUCAGCGGGGAGGCGUUACCCGCAGAAAAAGCCCCCGCUAACUCCGUGCCAGCAGCCGCGGUAAUUC
rnacentral:rRNA from 1 species